rnacentral:rRNA from 1 species
UUGAUCCUGGCUCAGGACGAACGCUGGCGGCACGCUUAACACAUGCAAGUCGAACGAGAGAAGAGAAGCUUGCUUUUCUGAUCUAGUGGCGGACGGGUGAGUAACACGUGAGCAAUCUGCUUUUCAGAGGGGGAUACCGAUUGGAAACGAUCGUUAAUACCGCAUAACAUAAUUGAACCGCAUGAUUUGAUUAUCAAAGAUUUAUCGCUGAAAGAUGAGCUCGCGUCUGAUUAGCUAGUUGGUAAGGUAACGGCUUACCAAGGCGACGAUCAGUAGCCGGACUGAGAGGUUGAUCGGCCACAUUGGGACUGAGACACGGCCCAGACUCCUACGGGAGGCAGCAGUGGGGAAUAUUGCACAAUGGAGGAAACUCUGAUGCAGCGAUGCCGCGUGAGGGAAGAAGGUUUUAGGAUUGUAAACCUCUGUCUUCAGGGACGAAAAAAGACGGUACCUGAGGAGGAAGCUCCGGCUAACUACGUGCCAGCAGCCGCGGUAAUACGUAGGGAGCGAGCGUUGUCCGGAAUUACUGGGUGUAAAGGGAGCGUAGGCGGGAUCGCAAGUCAGAUGUGAAAACUAUGGGCUUAACCCAUAAACUGCAUUUGAAACUGUGGUUCUUGAGUGAAGUAGAGGUAAGCGGAAUUCCUAGUGUAGCGGUGAAAUGCGUAGAUAUUAGGAGGAACAUCAGUGGCGAAGGCGGCUUACUGGGCUUUAACUGACGCUGAGGCUCGAAAGCGUGGGGAGCAAACAGGAUUAGAUACCCUGGUAGUCCACGCCGUAAACGAUGAUUACUAGGUGUGGGGGGACUGACCCCUUCCGUGCCGCAGCAAACGCAAUAAGUAAUCCACCUGGGGAGUACGACCGCAAGGUUGAAACUCAAAGGAAUUGACGGGGGCCCGCACAAGCAGUGGAGUAUGUGGAUUAAUUCGAAGCAACGCGAAGAACCUUACCAGGUCUUGACAUCGUAUGCAUAGCUCAGAGAUGAGUGAAAUCUCUUCGGAGACAUAUAGACAGGUGGUGCAUGGUUGUCGUCAGCUCGUGUCGUGAGAUGUUGGGUUAAGUCCCGCAACGAGCGCAACCCUUACUGUUAGUUGCUACGCAAGAGCACUCUAGCAGGACUGCCGUUGACAAAACGGAGGAAGGUGGGGAUGACGUCAAAUCAUCAUGCCCUUUAUGACCUGGGCCUCACACGUACUACAAUGGCUGUCAACAGAGGGAAGCAAAGCCGCGAGGUGGAGCAAACCCCUAAAAGCAGUCUUAGUUCGGAUUGUAGGCUGCAACCCGCCUACAUGAAGUCGGAAUUGCUAGUAAUCGCAGAUCAGCAUGCUGCGGUGAAUACGUUCCCGGGCCU